rnacentral:rRNA from 1 species
CCUACGGGUGGCUGCAGUGGGGAAUAUUGGACAAUGGGGGCAACCCUGAUCCAGCCAUGCCGCGUGUGUGAAGAAGGCCCUCGGGUUGUAAAGCACUUUCAGUGAGGAAGAACGCCUGGUGGUUAAUACCCAUCAGGAAAGACAUCACUCACAGAAGAAGCACCGGCUAACUCCGUGCCAGCAGCCGCGGUAAUACGGAGGGUGCGAGCGUUAAUCGGAAUUACUGGGCGUAAAGCGCGCGUAGGUGGCUUGAUAAGCCGGUUGUGAAAGCCCCGGGCUCAACCUGGGAGCGGCAUCCGGAACCGUCAAGCUAGAGUGCAGGAGAGGAAGGUAGAAUUCCCGGUGUAGCGGUGAAAUGCGUAGAGAUCGGGAGGAAUACCAGUGGCGAAGGCGGCCUUCUGGACUGACACUGACACUGAGGUGCGAAAGCGUGGGUAGCAAACAGGAUUAGAUACCCGAGUAGUC